AACGAACGCUGGCGGCAUGCCUAACACAUGCAAGUCGAACGAGACCUUCGGGUCUAGUGUCGCACGGGUGCGUAACGCGUGUGAACCUGUCCUUAGGUUCUGAAUAACUCCCCGAAAGGGGUGCUAAUAUCGGAUAAUGUCUUCGGACCAAAGAUUUAUCGCCUUUGGAUGGGCCCGCGUUGGAUUAGCUAGUUGGUAGGGUAAAAGCCUACCAAGGCGACGAUCCAUAGCUGGUCUGAGAGGAUGAUCAGCCACACUGGGACUGAGACACGGCCCAGACUCCUACGGGAGGCAGCAGUGGGGAAUAUUGGACAAUGGGCGAAAGCCUGAUCCAGCAAUGCCGCGUGAGUGAUGAAGGCCUUAGGGUUGUAAAGCUCUUUUACCCGGGAUGAUAAUGACAGUACCGGGAGAAUAAGCUCCGGCUAACUCCGUG
rnacentral:rRNA from 1 species